rnacentral:rRNA from 1 species
ACAUGUAUAUAGAUAACUUGUUAAUAAAAAUUAAGAUUUGUUUAGUAAGAAAAAUAAUUUUAAAGUUAAUUUGUUAGUAAUUUUUAAUGACCACAAUAAAGAGACUAUAGAAGAAAGUACUGUAAAGGAAAGAAAAUAAAAAUUUUGGACAGUAAAUUUAAAAUUUUGUACCUUGUGUAUCAGGGAAAAUUUAUAUAUGUUAGUAAAGAUUAAAGAUCUCGAAAUAAAAUAUAGCUAAUUUUAUAAAAAAUUUUUUGUAGAAAAUAAAUUUUUAAUAUAGAAUUAAAGGUGAAACACUAAUCGAGUUUUAUGGUAUCUAGUUUUUUAAAAAUAAAUUUAAUUUAACUUUUAAUAUUUAUCAAAUUUAAAAUUUAAAUGUAGGAGGGAUUAGCUUCUUAUAAAUUGAGGUAGUAAAGAGUAAAAUAAAACUAGUUGAUGAAUUAAGCUUAAAAGUAGCUAUAUUAAUAAAGUGUUCUAGCUAAAUCAGAGUUACAUAUUAUUUAUAAAAACUUUUUGUGGUAUUAAAAAAUUAAUUUAAGUUAAAAAAAUUAAGUUAUAAUGAUUUUAUUAGUAAAAUUUUAUUAUAAAAUAAUAUAUUUAAAUAAUAAAAAUUAUUUAAAAAUAGCCUUAUGGUUCAAAGGAACUCGGCAAAAAUAUUUUCUUUGCCUGUUUAUCAAAAACAUGUCUAUUUGAAGAUAUAAAAAGUUUAACCUGCCCACUGAUAACUUAAAAUUGAAUGGCCGCGGUAUCUUGACCGUGCAAAGGUAGCAUAAUCGUUAGUUUUUUAAUUGGAAUCUUGUAUGAAUGGUUGGACAAAAGAAAGUCUGUCUUUGUAUCAUUAAUUGAAUUUAACUUUUAAGUGAAAAGGCUUAAAUAAAUUAAAGGGACGAUAAGACCCUAUAAAGCUUAAUAUUAAAAUUUUAUUUAGUUGAAUUUUUUGUUAUAAAAACUUAGUAAUUGAGUUUAUUUUAUUGGGGCGAUAAGAGUAAAAUGAUUAUUAACUGCUUAAUUUUUAAUACAUUUAUAGAUGAUUAAAUUUUUAGAUGAUCCUAGUUAGAGAUUAAAAGUUUAAGUUACUUUAGGGAUAACAGCGUUAUUUUUCUUAAGAGUACUUAUCGAAAGAAAAGUUUGCGACCUCGAUGUUGAAUUAAAAUAUCUUUAUAAUUGCAGCAGUUAUAUAAGUAGGUCUGUUCGACCUUUAAAAUUUUACAUGAUUUGAGUUCAAACCGGCGUGAGCCAGGUUGGUUUCUAUCUUUUAAUAAAAUAAAAAUUAUUUUAGUACGAAAGGAUUAAAUAAUUUAAAUUAUUUAAAAUAUGAUA